rnacentral:snRNA from 1 species
GUGCUCGCUUUGGCAACACAUAUACUAAAAUUGGGACGACACAGAGAAGUUUAACAUGGUUCCUGUGCAAGGAUGACAUGAAAAUGAAUGAAGGGUUCCAAUUUUAU